AAGCACAUGGACACUUGAAGAGCACUUGACGCCAUUACUACCACUCACGUGCGGUUAUUGCGUAGGCGGAUAAAAUAAAAUGGCCGCUGCAGCUACUAUCAAGAAGAAGUGGGAAACAGACUUUGAACAAUGUACAAGACUCAAAGCAAAGGCCAAUACAAUUAUAGAACUGAGUAUUAUAACAAUAAGAAACAUUGUGUCAGAAUGUUACAAAUAACAGUCCAAGAUCUCAACUUGAACAUUGAUAGAUUGAAGGAUAAGCAGUUGAUAUACAGGAACUUGAACUAAAGACACAAUUUUAUCAACCCGAGUCUUAUUAUCCAUGCCUGUGGUGAGUUCGGUGAUGAAUAGAUGAUGAUCCCACCAUAAGUUACUAGGAGAUGCUGCUGUACCUCUUCUAAUUAAUCUGUGACUGCUCACAACUAUGAGGAAGACAUCUGGCUAGUUUUAAACUUUUAAUUUACUAUAAUUUAAGUUUUAUUAAUAAUUAUAAUACCUGAGAUGUGCUGUAUUUGAGAUAAUCAUAUUCAUAGUUGGUAUACACAAUAUAAAUAAACACUUAACAAACAAUUAGCAGCUACUUCA